rnacentral:rRNA from 1 species
AUUGAACGCUGGCGGCAUGCCUUACACAUGCAAGUCGAACGGCAGCACGGGGCAACCUGGUGGCGAGUGGCGAACGGGUGAGUAAUGCAUCGGAACGUACCUUUCAGUGGGGGAUAACGUAGCGAAAGUUACGCUAAUACCGCAUAUUCUGUGAGCAGGAAAGCAGGGGAUCGCAAGACCUUGCGCUGAUUGAGCGGCCGAUGUCAGAUUAGCUAGUUGGUGAGGUAAAGGCUCACCAAGGCGCCGAUCUGUAGCGGGUGUGAGAGGAUGAUCCGCCACACUGGAACUGAGACACGGUCCAGACUCCUACGGGAGGCAGCAGUGGGGAAUUUUGGACAAUGGGGGCAACCCUGAUCCAGCCAUGCCGCGUGAGUGAAGAAGGCCUUCGGGUUGUAAAGCUCUUUCGGCCGGGAAGAAAUCGCACGGGCUAAUACCCUGUGUGGAUGACGGUACCGGAAUAAGAAGCACCGGCUAACUACGUGCCAGCCGCCGCGGUAACAC